UACGAGUCUGACGAACGUUAUUCGGAAUUACUGGGCUUAAAGGGUGCGUAGGCGGUGCGGAUAGUCGGGUGUGAAAUGCCUUAGCUUAACUAAGGAACUGCACUCGAUACUGCCGUGCUAGAGUAAGACAGAGGUGAGUGGAACUGAGGGUGGAGCGGUGAAAUGCGUUGAUAUCCUCAGGAACACCGGUGGCGAAGGCGACUCACUGGGUCUUAACUGACGCUGAUGCACGAAAGCUAGGGUAGCAAACGGG
rnacentral:rRNA from 1 species